UUGUGAGGUUAAGCGACUAAGCGUACACGGUGGAUGCCCUGGCAGUCAGAGGCGAUGAAGGACGUGCUAAUCUGCGAUAAGCGUCGGUGAGGUGAUAUGAACCGUUAUAACCGGCGAUUUCCGAAUGGGGAAACCCAGUGUGUUUCGACACACUAUCAUUAACUGAAUCCAUAGGUUAAUGAGGCGAACCGGGGGAACUGAAACAUCUAAGUACCCCGAGGAAAAGAAAUCAACCGAGAUUCCCCCAGUAGCGGCGAGCGAACGGGGAGGAGCCCAGAGCCUGAAUCAGUGUGUGUGUUAGUGGAAGCGUCUGGAAAGGCGCGCGAUACAGGGUGACAGCCCCGUACACAAAAAUGCACAUAUUGUGAGCUCGAUGAGUAGGGCGGGACACGUGGUAUCCUGUCUGAAUAUGGGGGGACCAUCCUCCAAGGCUAAAUACUCCUGACUGACCGAUAGUGAACCAGUACCGUGAGGGAAAGGCGAAAAGAACCCCGGCGAGGGGAGUGAAAAAGAACCUGAAACCGUGUACGUACAAGCAGUGGGAGCCUCUUAAUGGGGUGACUGCGUACCUUUUGUAUAAUGGGUCAGCGACUUAUAUUCUGUAGCAAGGUUAACCGAAUAGGGGAGCCGAAGGGAAACCGAGUCUUAACUGGGCGUUAAGUUGCAGGGUAUAGACCCGAAACCCGGUGAUCUAGCCAUGGGCAGGUUGAAGGUUGGGUAACACUAACUGGAGGACCGAACCGACUAAUGUUGAAAAAUUAGCGGAUGACUUGUGGCUGGGGGUGAAAGGCCAAUCAAACCGGGAGAUAGCUGGUUCUCCCCGAAAGCUAUUUAGGUAGCGCCUCGUGAAUUCAUCUCCGGGGGUAGAGCACUGUUUCGGCAAGGGGGUCAUCCCGACUUACCAACCCGAUGCAAACUGCGAAUACCGGAGAAUGUUAUCACGGGAGACACACGGCGGGUGCUAACGUCCGUCGUGAAGAGGGAAACAACCCAGACCGCCAGCUAAGGUCCCAAAGUCAUGGUUAAGUGGGAAACGAUGUGGGAAGGCCCAGACAGCCAGGAUGUUGGCUUAGAAGCAGCCAUCAUUUAAAGAAAGCGUAAUAGCUCACUGGUCGAGUCGGCCUGCGCGGAAGAUGUAACGGGGCUAAACCAUGCACCGAAGCUGCGGCAGCGACACUAUGUGUUGUUGGGUAGGGGAGCGUUCUGUAAGCCUGUGAAGGUGGCCUGUGAGGGUUGCUGGAGGUAUCAGAAGUGCGAAUGCUGACAUAAGUAACGAUAAAGCGGGUGAAAAGCCCGCUCGCCGGAAGACCAAGGGUUCCUGUCCAACGUUAAUCGGGGCAGGGUGAGUCGACCCCUAAGGCGAGGCCGAAAGGCGUAGUCGAUGGGAAACAGGUUAAUAUUCCUGUACUUGGUGUUACUGCGAAGGGGGGACGGAGAAGGCUAUGUUGGCCGGGCGACGGUUGUCCCGGUUUAAGCGUGUAGGCUGGUUUUCCAGGCAAAUCCGGAAAACCAAGGCUGAGGCGUGAUGACGAGGCACUACGGUGCUGAAGCGACAAAUGCCCUGCUUCCAGGAAAAGCCUCUAAGCAUCAGGUAACAUCAAAUCGUACCCCAAACCGACACAGGUGGUCAGGUAGAGAAUACCAAGGCGCUUGAGAGAACUCGGGUGAAGGAACUAGGCAAAAUGGUGCCGUAACUUCGGGAGAAGGCACGCUGAUAUGUAGGUGAAGCGACUUGCUCGUGGAGCUGAAAUCAGUCGAAGAUACCAGCUGGCUGCAACUGUUUAUUAAAAACACAGCACUGUGCAAACACGAAAGUGGACGUAUACGGUGUGACGCCUGCCCGGUGCCGGAAGGUUAAUUGAUGGGGUUAGCGGUAACGCGAAGCUCUUGAUCGAAGCCCCGGUAAACGGCGGCCGUAACUAUAACGGUCCUAAGGUAGCGAAAUUCCUUGUCGGGUAAGUUCCGACCUGCACGAAUGGCGUAAUGAUGGCCAGGCUGUCUCCACCCGAGACUCAGUGAAAUUGAACUCGCUGUGAAGAUGCAGUGUACCCGCGGCAAGACGGAAAGACCCCGUGAACCUUUACUAUAGCUUGACACUGAACAUUGAGCCUUGAUGUGUAGGAUAGGUGGGAGGCUUUGAAGUGUGGACGCCAGUCUGCAUGGAGCCGACCUUGAAAUACCACCCUUUAAUGUUUGAUGUUCUAACGUGGGCCCCUAAUCGGGGUUGCGGACAGUGUCUGGUGGGUAGUUUGACUGGGGCGGUCUCCUCCUAAAGAGUAACGGAGGAGCACGAAGGUUGGCUAAUCCUGGUCGGACAUCAGGAGGUUAGUGCAAUGGCAUAAGCCAGCUUGACUGCGAGCGUGACGGCGCGAGCAGGUGCGAAAGCAGGUCAUAGUGAUCCGGUGGUUCUGAAUGGAAGGGCCAUCGCUCAACGGAUAAAAGGUACUCCGGGGAUAACAGGCUGAUACCGCCCAAGAGUUCAUAUCGACGGCGGUGUUUGGCACCUCGAUGUCGGCUCAUCACAUCCUGGGGCUGAAGUAGGUCCCAAGGGUAUGGCUGUUCGCCAUUUAAAGUGGUACGCGAGCUGGGUUUAGAACGUCGUGAGACAGUUCGGUCCCUAUCUGCCGUGGGCGCUGGAGAACUGAGGGGGGCUGCUCCUAGUACGAGAGGACCGGAGUGGACGCAUCACUGGUGUUCGGGUUGUCAUGCCAAUGGCACUGCCCGGUAGCUAAAUGCGGAAGAGAUAAGUGCUGAAAGCAUCUAAGCACGAAACUUGCCCCGAGAUGAGUUCUCCCUGAGACUUAGAGUCUCCUGAAGGAACGUUGAAGACGACGACGUUGAUAGGCCGGGUGUGUAAGCGCAGCGAUGCGUUGAGCUAACCGGUACUAAUGAACCGUGAGGCUUAACCUUACAACGCCGAAG
rnacentral:rRNA from 1 species